rnacentral:rRNA from 1 species
AUAUUAGUAAGCGGAGGAAAAGAAACUAACGAGGAUUCCCUUAGUAGCUGCGAGCGAACAGGGAAAAGCCCAGCACUGAAUCCCGGGGGCCUCGCCUCCAGGGAAAUGUAGUGUUUGGGAGGGUCCAUACACCCGAUACCGUCGCACUGCGUCCAAGUCCAUCUUGAAAGAGGCCACGGUCCCGAGAGGGUGCCAGGCCCGUGGUAGGCCGGUGCAGGUGUUGGGUGGACCUCUCCUCAGAGUCAGGUUGCUUGAGAGUGCAGCCCUAAGCGGGUGGUAAACUCCAUCUAAGGCUAAAUACAACCACGAGACCGAUAGCGAACAAGUACCGUGAGGGAAAGUUGAAAAGAACUUUGAAGAGAGAGUUCAAGAGUACGUGAAACCGCUCAGGGGUAAACGGAAAAGACCCGAAAUUUCCGAAGAGGGAGAUUCACGUCUUCUCGCGGGUUCGACGCAUUCACUCCUCUCCGACGACCCUGCCCCCGUUCGGACUCGUCCGGUGCGUGGCGGUGGGGUUGCAGAGGGUGAUGUGGAGGCCUGCGGCGGACCGCACUUCUCCCUUAGUAGGACGUCGUGACCCGUCCGGUCAUGGUCAUAAGGGCGCAGGGUGGAGCCUGUCCGAUCGUGCUUGCACGUCUUCGGGCAGACCCCCGUGCCCCGGCCAUGAAUUUCGGUCGGUAUCGAAUGACAGUGUUUGGUCGCUUGCCGUCGGAGGGAACUCCUGACAGUGAGUGCGCGUGGCUCUCGACAAGGUGCUGGGAUGUGUGGUCAAGGCGGGCUCCCGUCCGUCUGGCUCCGCUCGGCCCUGUUAGUCUUGUUGCUCUGGCGCCGGCCAAUUUUCAUAAACACUCGUCUACGGCGAAUCAGUUUUGGGCUCUUGUCCGACCCGUCUUGAAACACGGACCAAGGAGUUCAGCGUGUACGCGAGUCAUUGGGUGGUAAAACCCAAAGGCGUAAUGAAAGUGAAGGGAACUUUACGUUUCUGAGGGAGGAUGAGUCGGUUACCCGCGAGGGGCCGCUCCGCACUCCCGGGGCGUCUCUUUCUCAUUGCGAGUGGAGGCGCACCCAUAGCGUACACGCUGAUACCCGAAAGAUGGUGAACUAUGCCUGGCCAGGACGAAGCCAGGGGAAACCCUGGUGGAGGUCCGCAGCGAUUCUGACGUGCAAAUCGAUCGUCGGAGCUGGGUAUAGGGGCGAAAGACCAAUCGAACCAUCUAGUAGCUUUUGUUUUUUGAGCCGGGGGCUCGGAUCAGAGUGCCAAGUGGGCCAAUUUUGGUAAGCAGAACUGGCGCUGUGGGAUGAACCAAACGUCGAGUUAAGGCGCCCAAAUCGACGCUCAUGUGAAACCAUGAAAGGCGUUGGUUGCUUAAGACAGCAGGACGGUGGCCAUGGAAGUCGGAAUCCGCUAAGGAGUGUGUAACAACUCACCUGCCGAAGCAACUAGCCCUGAAAAUGGAUGGCGCUGUAGCGUCGUGCCUAUACUCGACCGUCAACGGCAAAGAUGGCCGGCGGGCAACCGUCGGCCGUUACGCCUUGACGAGUAGGAGGGCCGCGGCGGCGUGCGUAGAAGGGUCUGGGCGUGAGCCUGCCUGGAGCCGCCGUCGGUGCAGAUCUUGGUGGUAGUAGCAAAUACUCCAGCGAGGCCCUGGAGGACUGAUGUGGAGAAGGGUUUCUUGUGAACAGCUGUUGCACAAGAGUCAGUCGGUCCUAAGCCCUAGGAGAAAUCCGAAGCGAUGGGUUGCCGUUAAUAACUCUGAUCGAUUUAUGAAGGCACCCGUUUGGGCGAAAGGGAAUCUGGUUCCUAUUCCAGAACCUGGCAGUGGAACCGUUCCAAUUCGGGCCCUCUGAGGACUCGUCAGGGCAACCUGAAUAGACCCGGAGACGCCGACAGGAGGUUGGGGGAGAGUUGUCUCUUCUCUAUAAGCGAUCGAGUUCCCUGGAAACUUCUAGCAAGGAGAUAGGGUUUGGAUCGCGAAGAGCACUGCAGUUACGGCAGUGUCCCAAUCUUCCUCUCGGACCUUGAAAAUCCGGGUGAGGGCCACGAGGAACCCCACGCCAGACCGUACCCAUAUCCGCAGCA